UUUUUUUAAACAUUUUGGUAAACCAAACAGCGUCAUAUUCCUCUUUCUUUCUGGUUUUCAGACGUAGCAGCAUCAUGGAACUCUGGAAGACCAGUUCUAUUGCUUUUGUCCUCUAGACAAAACUCCACCUUCAUGAGACCCGAAGAUCUCUCCUCAAUUUUUGGUGUUUGAUUGUACCUGCAAGGGGUUGCAAUCGCAAUUGGAGGGUCCAGAGUUUUUUCUUUUGAGAAGUUGUUGUUUAGAAUUUGAUGGAUGAUGGGUUCAAGACAGAAAAGGAGCAGGACAACAAAAGCAAAGGUCAAUAUUUCAUCUUCACUAUCUAAUGUGAAUUUCUGGAAUGCAUAUAUGGAAGGAAAAAUGGCUAUCUAUGAAAGACAACUGGUGAGGGAAAAUAUCGAGGGAGAUUAUGUUCCGUACCAGCCAGUGUUUUCUUCAUCUUUUUAGAAAGUUCUCUAUUUACCCGACAGUGCUAACUCUGUGCAAGGGCUUGCAAAUCCUAUUCGAGGUGUGGUUGUUAUCUCUUCUUCACCUAAUAUAGCAAUCACAAGUUUCCUUUUUUCAUUGCUGCUUGGUAUUCCUUCCUUGUGCCUUUUACUUUCUUUUAGCCAGUUUGUUUUCUUAGCCUUGGCCUCAAUUUUCUGAAUUUAUUUGUAUAUUCUUACUGCCUGAUAAUUGGUGUAUACUCUAAAGCCAUUUAUGUUUUGGCUAUGUUUUGCUGACUAA